CCCCUGCAGUGCAGGAAACAUUUGCCCAACGUGGGGCUCAGACCCACAACCCUGGGACUAAGAGUCUCAUGCUCUGCCAAAUCAGACAUCUCAAAAGGAAAACAAGAUUGAAGGUGAGAAAAUUUAUUAGGACUCCUAAAAGUGUGACUGUCUCUUUAAGAAGUAAGCUGCAGAGGGAAUUCUGGGGAAAGGAAGGAAAAUGCAAAGCAAGAGCAACCCAUUUUUGUUCUGUUAUUUCUGCUGAUUUUGACUGGAAUGAAUCCUCUCAAAGGGCCCUUGGGAAACUGCCCAACCUGCUCUUGGCGGGUAAAUGGUUUUUAUGUCAGUCACUCUGGUCUGGAGAGAAACUUCUGCUGGGCCUGAGAGGCAGAUUUAGUCUCCUCAGGAGAUAAUGAGGUGGGUUUCAUAAUUUUCCCACAGAAGGAAGAAAGGGAGGAGGGUCUCUCCAGAGAACGAGGCUCCUGAGAACGUGUAGAGUUCGGCUCCUGAGUCAGCGCCAGAAAAAGACACACGUCCCCCUUCAUGGUCCAGAGUCACCCGGAUCCUCCUGGGCUCCCAAAACAGGGACAGAGGAGAGUCAUCUGGGGAAGUGAAGGCCCAGUACUUCUCUCUCCACUUCCCCACAGCCCAGACCCCUCUCUCAGGAAUGAAGUUGAAAUAGCCCUUUCUCUCCACAGACUUCCUGGCGACCCCCAAAGCCCACAAUUCCCUACUUUCCACAGUGACUUCCCAGAAAUGUCUGUCUGCUGUGAAUCCCUCACGUCCCAACACACAAGGCCGGUCACUGAAUCUCUCAGGAUUGUCAGGCAGGGCUUGAGGUUUGUCUCCCCUUCUCACACUUUUCCGAUCCUCGGACAGGAUGAGGCAGGGAUGGGCUGUGUCUGGAUCCAGAGUGACAUUUGCUGUUGGGGAAAAGAUGAGGGAAAGAGAAGAAUAUGCAGAGUCAGCUGAGAGACAGAAACGGACAUCCUGAUAAAUAAAUAAAUAACACCCCAAAACCCCAGAUUCCCUUUCAGAUCAAGGGGAUUUCUUUGCAUCACAUGCUAGACUGAGACUCCUCCUUGCAGACUCUCAUCAGAAUAAAUAUCUUCCUUGAUGGUUUUUAAAUUAGUUUCCUUCACUUUCUUAUAUCCAAUAUGUAUUGUGCCUGCCCUUCUCUCAUCCCAGGCAUUUUCUAAGAGGAAAAACCACCCAGGAAACCUUUUACUCAUCUCUUCUGUGUUAUCUAAGGGGAAAGAGAGGAGAAUUGGAGGAGACAGGAGAGGGGAUUGGCCUUUGGGGAGCUCUGGGUUGGGAUGGGAUAUGAGGACCCCCUGUAACAACAACAACAACAACAACAACAAUAAUAAUUUUAUAUUUGCAUACUGCCCUUUAUCCAUAGGUCUCAGGGUGGUUCACAGCAUAAAAAUACAACAUUAAACCACAUAUAGGCCUCCCCUCACUUUCGUGGGGGUCACGUUCUGGCCCUCGUGCCUACAAGUGAAAAUAGUGCUAAGUGGGGAGCCUGUUUAUUCCUCCAUCUCUCUCACCCACUUGGCCUGUCCUUGCCUUCCUCUCUACCAUCUUGGAAGUUUAGGCCUUGCUGCCAGGUAAGAAAAGGCAGGUGGCAGGGCAAUUUUACAAAGGACGGCUUAUUCCAUGCUUCUCUUUUGGAUGUAAUAUAUAACAUAAGACUAGUUCUGUUAUGUACUGAAGUUCUCACCCUGGGCCAGCAGGGGGAUACUGUAGAUAGUUAUGUAAAUGAAGGAUCGAAAAGUGAUGUUCAGUGAUUGGAUAGUUUUAGAAAAUGGCAACAGUUACAUUGUUCUGGAGCGCUAUAUAAGCAGGCUGACUGAGCUCCUCAGCUUAGUUCUGUUCCAGCUUACAAAAUAAAGAGCUGCUUUGGAGAAAUCGCUGUGUCGUCUGCUAUGUCAACCCACAACUUAACAAGUUCCAUGGAGGGAAGGGGGAAUAACUCAAAAAUUUACCAGUUAGGAGCUUAGACAGUCAUGACAGGCAAGUGUUGGGUUGCCGUAUUUUGAAGAGCAAAAAAGAGGACACAUUUGCCAACUUCUACUCUUAACCAUGGAUCGCUAUGACGACACUCAUUUUAAAUACCCCUGCUCUAUGUAGGCUUUCGAAGCUGUGAUAUACUGCUAGUAGCAAUGUUCUUAACUUUCAACAACCAAAGAAUAAUAAUACCUAUUGCUCCCUCGCUUGCCACAUGGAAAUAUUUGGGCUCAUGUUCCCAUCUUUGUGAAUGCAAGUGUGCACAGAACAAUUUAUUAAACUGUUAAACAUGUACAUAUGGACUUUCCUUAAGGGCAGGGGGUUGUUAACUCUCGCCCUCCCGGACUCCUUCUCCAAGAUCUUGUAGCUGAGCCAGCGUCCUUUUAGUUCAGCCACAAGAGAAGGGUUUUAUACAGGACGUGGCUAGCUGAAGAUGCUGCUCUGUUGUGAUUCUCUGCUCUAGGCUAGCUUAGCUGGGUGCCUUAGAUCUGAGUCCAAUGCACUAGAAAUUUUUUCACGGGUUACUGUAAACCAAACCAAACAACUUGAGACAUUUUGCCAAAUUUAAAAAAUCCGCCCAGGGGAGAAAUUUUAAUCAUGAAAAUAGAGGACCUGUCUGAGAAAAAGCUCACAUGGAAAAGCAACCCAACUCUCUCUAGGCAGGAAUGAAACCCUUCCUUCCUCCAGCUGAUCCUUCUGGGCAGUUUCUCCCCCUCCCCUUCUGCACCUUCAAGUCCACCCUCUCUGCCUUUGUGGUACAAACAGCAGGGGUGAGAGUCAGGCUGUACAGAAGAGACUCUUGGCCCCCAUGAAACACUAGUCCCCCCUCCUGUGAAUUGGGGUCUCCAUGUGAAAUUUACCUCUCUGAAGAUUUCUGAAUGACUGAACAUCUGAGGAAGCAAAAAGACAGGCUUAACAGGCUACAAUGCAGUAGCUAAAAAAUAAAUCUUUUUUUACAAAACAUCACCAAAUCAUAGCAUCUGUUGUUUCCUUAUUUCAAGCAAAAGAUGAAAUCAUGCAAAGACGACAACUGUAGGACUACUCUCCAAAAUAUUAUUCUUGAGAAUGUAAUAUCACUAGGCCUAAGGAAUUAAAACAACUAUCGUGUUUAGCUGUGAUUCCCGCAUUGCAGGGGACUGGACUAGAUAAUCCUUGGGAUCCUUUCAAACUCUGCCAUUCCAUGAUUUCAUGGGAAAAUUAGAAAUGGUAAACCAUACUAGAAAAUGGGGGAAUACAAUCAUUCAAAAUCCACAAAUGAAAUGAAGCACAAGAAAUGGCUGGUGAGGUUGAAACUCUGAGGAAGAGGCGGCUCAGGCCUUGCUCUGCUCUGGGAGACCAGCCUGGCAGGAGGUGGAGGAGGGACUGGGUGCUUGCGGGUGCCCUUUUUAACACACUUCACGAGGGGGAAAUCCAAGCAAAUCAAGAGAAGCCCCAAAAUAACAUCCUCAGAUUGUGUGGAGGGAUAACAAAAUGCAAGGGAGAUUCCUUAUACACGAGAACUCAACAAGAUGGACAUUGGACUGACUCUGCAGGAUCCUCCUUAAGGGCUUUUGUAAUAUAUCGUAAGGCUCUGAGGCUUUUUCCUACCACAAAGCAGUAUAUACAUUUUAUGAAAGAAAGCAAAAUCUAUAAAAUAAAAAACCAGGAUAAUAGUCUAUAGGCAGGAAAGGAACAGACGACUGGUGUGCAGGUUCUUGGCAGGGACAAGCUCUGCCCCCAGGCCAAGCCUUCAACCUCCUGCCCAGUUCAUUUAUGGGACAGACAAAGAACCCAAACACCACUAGAGGACUGUUACCCAGAGUUACACCAUUGAUGGGGGUCCCAAAGUCUGCAGAGCAGAUGGUUUAACACCCAUGAAAUAUCAGUCCCCAUCCCUCCUGUGAAAUUGUUCCUCCCCUGGAAAUUUACCUUUCUGAAUCUGAUCACUGAAUAGCAGAGCAUCUGAGGAAGCAAAAAAAUAUAAAGUGUAAGGGCAACACUCUUCCACCAGAAAUAAAUCUCCGUACAGCAUGAAUCCUGCUGGUCUCUGAACUUUGUCCCUGAAAUUGGGCUCUACAUUGGAGGACUGGAGGGGAGGCAGAGCAAUAAGAAUCCCGUAAAAGGAGGCAGAGGGGAGAUGGAGGCAGCCUUAACAUCUUCCCCAAAUAAAUGUGGUGGAGGGAAUCAUUAAAGCCAAAAUUGUGAAACAUAAGUAGAAGCAAAGGUUGCUGUGGAAGGAUUGGCAGAGCUCUCAGGCAAAAGAAAGUCCUCCCUCACAAACCUUCUACAAAUCUUUAAGGUUGUUAACAAGCAUAAUUGUUCCCUCUGGGGCUCAUGUGCUCUUGCUUCCACUCUCAAUGGGGGAACUCUCAGGAGAUCUUGAAGGCUGAAGCCCUAGAUAUGGCAGCUGCAGGGGGACGUCUGAGGAGGAGGCGGCUCAGGCAUUGGCUCCACGGCUGAGAAAUAAGCCUGAGCAGGAGGCAGAGGGGGAACUGGGGGCUUCUUAAUGCCCCUUGACUCCAUUCAGAGCAGGAGAACCUCCAAAAGGACAAACUCAGAUUGUCCAGACAGGGAACCACAAGGAAAAGGAGGUUUCGUAUAACUAGGAGGAAAGAAUCCUGACUUUGCUCUACACUCUGGUUCAGGCUUUCUUUACAGGAUCCAGCGUCACAAUAUACAUGGGCCAUUCAGGGGAACAGGAAAUGAAGGCUGGAGCAGGAAGAAGGAAGGUAUCCUGGGGUUACUCAAUUCCAUGCAAUAAGAGCCAGGCAUGUUCACUUCUGAAGAAGUAAUAGAAUUCCCAGGGUGAAAUCCUGGCAGCCAGUUUUCAUUACCUUUCCAUUGUUUCAUUGUAUUCUCCACAAGGUGAUUUAGUUCACCGGAUUCCAAGAUCCUGUUCCUCAGCUAUGGAGGGAAAGCUAGUGGCUUCUCUGGACUCUCUCUUUCCUCAUACCUGGUGAAAAGAAAAACAACGAAUGGCCCCAUUGUGGCCCCAUCUCCCUAAUUAUUGCAGGAGAUCUCAGUAACAUGAACAAAGUUGUAGUUCAUCUCCCAACAGGUAAUUUCAGGAUUCAGCUUCAUCUCUUGACACCCACCUCCAAGCCCCGGUCAGUGGCUUCGUAAGGAUGCUAAACAGCACAAGGGACAAGAUGUAACCCCAAGCGACACCACCGGAGAGCUUCCAAUGAUGCUAUCCCGUAACAACUUUCUGGGAAGGUGCCAGGACUUAAGAACCAAACCCCUGAGGUGGAAUGCCUGCACUCCCUCCCUCCCUCCCUGAGCUUCUCCAGAGGAUGUGAGUGAUGUCCAAAGCUGCCAAGUGGUCAAAGAGAACAACCUCCACCCUCCCUUCAUCCCCUCUCUCACCCAGGAAGGGCACAACCCCAUGUCCCAUGGGACUCUCCCUCCAGAGGCAGGAAACAACUAGACUUUCACCCCCAACUCAAGACCACAUUCAGCUUCUCAAGGUGGAAACGCUCCCAAGAAAAAGGACCCACCCAUUCUAGACCAACAGACCUUCCCCCCCUAAGUGUGUCAAAGGAGCUGAGUUACAGGGGGUGGGGGUAGGCCAAGGCUUUGAAAACGGUAUAAGUGCAAUUUAUUCAGAACAAAAGGCUAAAUUAAUUGUAAAUAACGUGGUGACCGAAGAAUUUAAGAUAGAAAAAGGGACACGACAAGGUUGCCCAAUCUCCCCAUUGCUUUUCAUAUCGGUCCUGGAGGUCCUGCUGAAUAUGAUUAGAAGGGACCAAUUGGUUAAAGGGGUACAAUUCGGAGCUAAACAGUACAAAUUGAGAGCAUUUGCAGAUGACUUAGUAUUGACAUUACAGGAGCCAGAAUCUAGUACUAAAAGGGUUUUGGAACUGAUUCAAGAAUUUGGUCAGGUUGCAGGAUUUAAACUGAAUAAGUUAAAAACAAAGGUCUUAGAGAAAAAUUUAACACCGAUUGAGAGAGAGAGGUUUCAGAACGAGACAGGUUUAACAGUGGUUAAGAAAGUGAAAUACCUGGGGAUUAACAUGACAGCAAAAAAUGGGAAUCUAUUCAAAGACAAUUAUGAAAAAUGCUGGGCUGAAGUGAAAAAAGAUUUAGAAAUUUGGUCAAAUUUGAAGCUUUCACUGCUAGGCCGUAUUGCUGCGGUAAAAAUGAAUGCAUUGCCUAGAAUGUUGUUUCUGUUUCAAACAUUGCAAAUUUUGGACAAAAUGGACUGUGGCAGAGCGAUAUCUCUAGAUUUGUCUGGCAGGGCAAGAAGCCUAGAAUAAAAUUUAAAAUACUAACGGAUGCAAAGGAAAGAGGUGGAUUUGCCCUGCCAGACCUUAAACUUUAUUAUGAAUCAGCAGCUUUUUGCUGGUUGAAAGAAUGGCUGCUUCUUGAGAACACAGACAUUUUGGAUUUAGAAGGUUUUAACAAUGUAUUUGGAUGGCAUGCAUACUUGUGGUAUGAUAAGGUCAAAGCACAUAAAGCAUUUAAAAACCAUAUUGUCAGGAAAGCAUUGUUUAAUGUUUGGAUAAGAUAUAAGGACCUACUGGAAAACAAAACCCCAAGGUGGCUGUUACUGAUGGAAGCAAAAGCCCAGAAAAAACUCAAUAUGGAGGUCAAAUGGCCGAAAUAUUGUGAAAUUUUGGAACAAGAGGGAGAUAGACUGAAAUUGCAGAGUUUUGAGAAACUAAAAAACAAAGUGCGAGAAUGGAGGCAUACAAUUUGGACAAGAAAAUUGGCUUCCAGGUGGAAAAAUCAAAAUUAGAAACAGAAUUGUUAGAACCCAAAACUAAGAUUUUGUCAAAGAUGUAUAACUUGAUGUUGAAAUGGAAUACUCAGGAUGAAAUGGUGAAAUCUGUUAUGAUUAAAUGGGCACAGGAUGUUGGACAUAACAUAAUGAUGGCUGACUGGGAACAGUUAUGGACCACAGGUAUGAAGUUUAUGGCAUGUAAUGCCUUAAGAGAGAAUAUUAUGAAAAUGAUAUACAGGUGGUACAUGACACCAGUCAAGCUGGCAAAAAUCUAUCAUUUGCCCGAUAAUAAAUGUUGGAAAUGUAAAGAAACUGAAGGUACAUUUUUUCACCUUUGGUGGACGUGCCCAAGGAUUAAGGAUUUCUGGGAGAUGAUUUAUAAUGAAAUGAAAAGGGUAUUUAAAUAUACCUUUCUGAAGAAACCAGAGGCCUUUCUCCUGGGCAUGGUCGGCCAAAUGGUGCCAAAGAAGGACAGAACUUUCUUUAUGUAUGCCACAACAGCAGCAAGAAUACUUACCUCAAAGUAUUGGAAGACACAAGAUCUACCCACUCUGGAAGAAUGGCAGAUGAAGGUGAUGUACAUGGAAUUGGCGGAAAUGACUGGCAGAAUCCGAGACCAGGGAGAAGAGUCGGUGGAAGAAGAUUGGAAUAAAUUUAAAGACUAUUUACAGAAAUACUGCAAAAUUAAUGAAUGUUAGAAUGAUGUCAGAAUGAAGUUAAGUGUUAUAAGCAGCAAUGUUAUAAAGGUGUAUGUAAAAAUAGAUUGUUAACAGGUGAAAAUCCAAAGUUAUGAUAUUUUAAGUUAAAGGUUUAAGACUAAAACAAAGAGGGAAAGGAAUUGCUGAAUUAACCAAUAGAACUGGAAUACAAAAAAGGGAGGUGUGAGAAGGUCAGGGAAGCAAGGAAAUGAAUGUAAGGUAUGGAAAGAUUGAUGUGUUUUUUUAAGUGCU